rnacentral:lncRNA from 1 species
UGAAUAGUGGUGAAGUCCCAAUGUGGCCCUCACGGCGAAAAGUUUGGAGACUCCUGAUCUACAGUGAUACAAGGUACGCUACAUAGAAAAUGACCUAUCGUAUUUUGGACUGGCAUCCGUUUUUAUUCCGCCUGGCCUCGUCUAUUUCCAUUGUAAAAAAACCGUUAACUCUACAAUUUUAGAUGCAACUAUACCUUAAAAAUGGGUGUGGGAACAGCGCCAUCGGAUUGAUACGAUCUGGUGGCUCUGUUCCCACUCUUAUUUUUGAAUUCUAGUUAUGACUAAAAUUAUGGAGUUAACGGAUUUCUUCUACUAGAAAUUUUUGGCCGUAAGUCUCGUCUUAAGAUAAAUCGGAUGUUUUGGAUGACGUCGUCUUCCCGGGUCCGACAUCUUAUCCGUAUCUGGUUGUUUUAUCGACUGUUUUCUCCAAAUCCUCUUCGCCUUUAACUCCAUUUUUAACAUUAUCAGGAAUGUUUAUCCGACGUUUUUGCACUUUGGCGCUGACUUUUGUUUUCCGCCAUUCGUUCCAGCUCGGAAUUUGGAACGUUAUUCUGCCCCCAUGGCUGGAUAGGUCCUUUAUCCAAUUACCGUAUCUUUAUCUAUUGUACUUUGGGUUAUUGUCGUCUCCGUUAUUCUUAUCUGUGUCGACUGGGUAUGCGCUGACGUCAUCUAAAUAUCUACUGUAUUAACUAACCGUCUGUUUUCUAAUUAUUACGCGUAUUUGGCUGACAGAAUUUUAAUACGGAUUAAAGUUAACGUAUUAUCAGAAUUUAUGCGAUACAGGCGUAUAAAGUAGAAAGAAAUACGAUAGGUGGUAUUUACGUCGCAUGCAUUUAACGUGUACUUUGAUAAAUGAAGAUUACACCGUAUGUAUACGGCAUUAUAUAUAUAUAUAGACGGGAUGUUUUGUAAACUAAUGCCGAAAAUACAAAAUAAGUUUAUUAAGUCGAACAACAAUUUUUCGUUAGACUCAUCGUUACCGAGUUAUAACCAAAUACAUGAAGUCAUUUCCGUUUUCCCAAAGGUUUCGUUUUACUUCAAUAACAAUGGAAUUAUCUGUAAAUAAAUUUUCAAGAAGAUAAAACUGUCCAUUUAAAUGAGGGUGUGCAGUCGCGUAUAAAGUGGUUGUAAGAAUCAAGUUUUUCAAUGUAAACAUCGAUCCACCAGACCUGAUUAGAACGGAUCAUCUUGAAUGCCUACUCUAGCUUGUUUCCUUUCGAUCAGUUAAAAAGAAACAUUUGUAAACAUGUUUUUUUUUUUUUUUUUUAAUUUAUCAGCUCCUUUAUUUAA